rnacentral:rRNA from 1 species
UAAUACGGAGGGUGCGAGCGUUGUCCGGAAUCACUGGGCGUAAAGGGCGCGUAGGUGGCCGAGCAAGGUUGCGGUGAAAGCCCGGGGCUCAACCCCGGGUCGGCCGUGGCAACUACUCGGCUUGAGCACUGUAGGGGCGGGUGGAAUUCCGGGUGUAGCGGUGGAAUGCGUAGAGAUCCGGAAGAACACCGGUGGCGAAGGCGGCCCGCUGGGCAGGAAGACGGGCGCAAGUCCGUCGGCUGACACUGAGGCGCGACAGCGUGGGGAGCAAACAGGAUUAGAUACCCUGGUAGUCCACGCCGUAAACGAUGGGCACUAGGUGCUUGGGGGAGCGACCCUCCGAGUGCCGGCGCUAACGCAUUAAGUGCCCCGCCUGGGGAGUACGGCCGCAAGGCUG